GACGUAAUGAGGCCUCGACGAGGAGUUUGGUACUUAAAAUAGGCUAACUCUUGCGCAAAAAAAGAUAGAAAAUAUCAAAUAUGGGAAAGCGGGACGAUAGACCAAACAUAUCUACGAAGAGACCGUUGGUGCCGGAAAUAUCUCUGUCUUUAGUAGUGUCCGCGAGGUAUAUUAAUUUAUAAAACAUGAGAUAUUAGUACCGUAUUGCCCGGGAAUCAAAAGAUUUUUGCAAGAUCGCAGAAUUCAGCUAGACACACAAAAAAAAAGACAAUCACUACAGCCUUCCAAGAAGAUGGACUGCCUCACAAUAGUUUCCUUGAGGACUGUCUUGAAGUAUCCAGAGUUUAAGAUUCAAGAAACGGACUCUAUCUGGAAAAGGAAAACAAUAUCAAAGCUCCUCUGUGAGAAGUUGGCCAAGGAAAGCAUUCAGAAGAAAGUGGAGAUUCAUUGUUUUUACCAGAUCCAGCAGAUCACAGAAAGCAUCUAGUAGGGGAGGUCUACAGAUCGAAGCAUGCCAAACGUGUAAAGAACAAGUUUCCAGGAUUAAGCCAGCCAGUAGAUGAGACUAUUAUAUCAAAAAUACAUUUACUUGUACACGAGGGCACACAAAGCGUUGAUGAAACAAAAAGACAUUUCCGUCUGUUUGUAAAGGAUACUAUUUCACCAGGGAACACCAUCUCAGAAUUUAACAGAUGCUUUUACCCCGCCAAUAAGGAUGUAAGAAAUCACAUUUACAGGGCACCGAGAUUUUGCCAGGUAGUUUAGAACUGUGUGCAUUGGUUUUGGAAGAAUUUGGGCUGUUUAGGCUAAAAUCCAUUAUGAUUGGACAGAAUAUGAACACACACAUCCAAUACUUCAAAGAUAUUAUGUUUGUGGAGGCAGAGAUUUUGAUUGCAUCCACUGUUUAGAAUACAUCCUUAGGGCCAAAAUAAAAAUAUUGUUUGUUUCCCCUCGCCCGACCGAGUCUGAAAAUUCACACCGACCCAUAAGUUUUUAUUACGCCAUUCUGGUGAAGUUUUUUUUUUUAAUUUUAAGAAAAAUUCAAGGUCGUUUCUGGUGCAGAUCAGUAUUUUAUAACGACAAAAAUUUUCUAUAUCUUCUUUGGUUUCAAUCCAAAAUUAAAAAAUAAUGAUAAUACGAAUACAGGAGGUGUUCUGGUCCGAAAUCUAGAAAUUUCGCUGCCUCCAGCUGGAGGCGGCAUUCUCUGGCUGAUUUCAAAUACUUACAAGCCGAAUUUAAUUUUAAGCUCAUAACUAAUCAAUAAAACGAUUCUUCUUGUACUUACUAAUAUCGAUAUUAUGGGUUCUUUCAUCACAUAAACAGUCUCUUGAAAACAUUUUAUCAAACUGUCAAGCUUUGUUUUGAGUCACGAGACUCGUUUGCUCAAAUGCCAGUGAAAAUUCGGUUGACUACAAUUGUUGGCUUCUGUUUAAUAUUGAAUUUUGGAUUGAUAUUUUCUUUUAAUCGAUAUUAAUAAGUACAAGAAUCAUGAUUGUUUUAUUGAUUAGUUACAAGUGAGUUUAACAUUGAAUUCGGCUCGCAAUUCGGACUAGUGAUCUGCAACAUCGAGAUGGAGAAAUGUCUAUACGAGGAGCGAGGAAACAAGAGAAUUCGGGGCAUCCAGUGUGCAAUUUGUGUUCUUCAGUAGGGGAAAGUGUUGAUAUUUCGGACGGAUGCGAUAUUUUUGACAGUCAAUCAGAAGCAUUCUCAAUUUAACUUAUUUCUGAACUAAUGCUAUAUUUACAAACUGGAAAACACCUAAUUAUAUGCACAUGUGUAACUCAGCUCUGAUUGGUUGAUGUCAGCAUCCAUUUUGUUUGAUCGGCAAAAUCAAGUCCCGUUGAAACGUUUUCUGGUAAACUAGAUCUACCGAUAUCAUUUAAAAAUAUAAUGAAAAUCACUAUCAUAUAUAAAUUAAGAUAAUGUGCAAAAAACAAAAGCAUAAAAUGUCAGUGAACCAUAAAUAAAAGACAGCAACCGAGUUUACCAAUUUUAUAACACCAUGUGUCCAAAAGUAACACCAUUGUCCAUAAUUGCAACAUUCUCCCUAACUUUAUUUAAGUGUUAGUAUGUGGUAUAAAUAGCAGAGAAAAUUCUGAUGAAACCCAAUUUUCGUCGAAUCAACCAAUAUGUAUACAUGUAGUCCAAUGCCUAAGUUUAGUGGUUAGAUAAUGAGCAUUUCCAAAAUACAUGAAGUACUGUCCGAAAUAUCGACACCUUUCCUAAUUGCAAAACGUGGCAAUCAAAGCAGAAUUUACGCGAGAACUGACUAUACGAGUUUGAUGAGGAAACAUGGAUGAUGUGCUUCACGACGUUUGGUAUCGGGCAUUGUUAAUGGUUAUGGGAAUUUCAUAAUAAAUAAAAUUCUGCUAGCUAAAAAAAAAAACUUUUUACCUACCUACCGACCUUCCUCUGAAAUUUAGGGUCGGGAGAGGGGAAACAAACAUAUUUUUAAAUGUGGC